UAGCCAACCCUGACGACGCUAUCUUUGCGAAAACAAACUUGAACGGUCAACGCGCG
rnacentral:tRNA from 1 species